GCACACGAAAAAUAUGGCGUGCGAAACACUGGUGGACACACUCCAGGUUUGAGCAUAAAAACAUUAGUUUUGAGCGUAAAUAGUGACCGAUACAACGUAAAUCCUCGCUGGAUCGCCCGCUACCUCCUCGUCAAGGCACCGAGGGAUCCGUACGCCACGGGACGCCUCCCUUGUUGGAUCAGGCCACCAUCUCUUCGUGGAACCGCCACACAUGUAGCCCGCAGCCGCCGCCCAUUGCCGCUCGCGCCUUGUGUAGCCAUCGCCUAGUCGUUCGAGCCUCGUGCAACUGCCACCACCGCUUGUGCCUCCCGCGACUGCUGCCACAGUUGGGGCAUCGCGCGGCUGUAGCCACUGCUUGGGCGUCAUAUGGCUGUAGCUGCCGCUUGAGCCUCACAUGGACGCCGACGUCGCUCCUCUCACGAUGCCACUGUAGCUCCUCUUGCGGCGCCGUUGUCGCUCCUCUGGCGACACCAGCAUCGCACGGCCUCGCGCAACCGCCUUUGUCGCCGCUGGUGAAACCCUAAUCGUGGUUAUUUGGGGGAGGUUUUAUAAAUGGCCCAAGGCCUGGUCUGGUUGAAGUGGUGCGGUUAAACCAGAUGCACCAUUAGGCCAAGGCUUUCUCUAGCUAUUGAAAAAUCAGGUCUCAUAAU
rnacentral:lncRNA from 7 species